CAAUAGCGUAUAUUAAAGUUGUUGCGGUUAAAAAGCUCGUAGUUGGAGUUCUGCCAGGUGACGCUCGUCCGCCCAAGUGGUGUGUACAGGGCGUGCAUCUGGCCCUUUCAAGGGGAACGUGUUGCACUUUAUUGUGUGGCGCGAGAUCCUUGACUUUUACUUUGAAAAAAUUAGAGUGUUCAAAGCAGGCCUAUGCUCUGAAUAGGUUAGCAUGGAAUAAUAGAAUAGGACUUUGGUUCUAUUUUGUUGGUUUCUAGGACCGAAGUAAUGAUUAAUAGGGACAGUUGGGGGCAUUUUUAUUCCAUUGUCAGAGGUGAAAUUCUUGGAUUAUCGGAAGAUGAACUUCUGCGAAAGCAUCUGCCAAGGAUGUUUUCAUUGAUCAAGAACGAAAGUUAGGGAUCGAAGAUGAUCAGAUACCGU
rnacentral:rRNA from 1 species